AACGAACGCUGGCGGCAUGCCUAACACAUGCAAGUCGAACGAGAUCCUUCGGGGUCUAGUGGCGCACGGGUGCGUAACGCGUGGGAAUCUGCCCUUAGGUUCGGAAUAACAGUUAGAAAUGACUGCUAAUACCGGAUGAUGACGUUAAGUCCAAAGAUUUAUCGCCUGAGGAUGAGCCCGCGUAGGAUUAGCUAGUUGGUGUGGUAAAGGCGCACCAAGGCGACGAUCCUUAGCUGGUCUGAGAGGAUGAUCAGCCACACUGGGACUGAGACACGGCCCAGACUUCUACGGGAGGCAGCAGUGGGGAAUAUUGGACAAUGGGCGCAAGCCUGAUCCAGCAAUGCCGCGUGAGUGAUGAAGGCCUUAGGGUUGUAAAGCUCUUUUACCCGAGAUGAUAAUGACAGUAUCGGGAGAAUAAGCCCCGGCUAACUCCGUG
rnacentral:rRNA from 1 species